rnacentral:rRNA from 1 species
AUUGAACGCUGGCGGCAUGCUUUACACAUGCAAGUCGAACGGUAACAGGGAGCUUGCUCCGCUGACGAGUGGCGAACGGGUGAGUAAUGCAUCGGAACGUACCGUGUAAUGGGGGAUAACGUAGCGAAAGUUACGCUAAUACCGCAUACGCCCUGAGGGGGAAAGUGGGGGACCGCAAGGCCUCACGUUAUACGAGCGGCCGAUGUCGGAUUAGCUAGUUGGUGGGGUAAAGGCCUACCAAGGCGACGAUCCGUAGCGGGUCUGAGAGGAUGAUCCGCCACACUGGGACUGAGACACGGCCCAGACUCCUACGGGAGGCAGCAGUGGGGAAUUUUGGACAAUGGGGGCAACCCUGAUCCAGCCAUGCCGCGUGAGUGAAGAAGGCCUUCGGGUUGUAAAGCUCUUUCAGGUGGAAAGAAAUCUCUUGGGCAAAUACCCUGGGAGGAUGACGGUACCAUCAGAAGAAGCGCCGGCUAACUACGUGCCAGCCGCCGCAGUAAAAC